rnacentral:snRNA from 1 species
AGCUUUGCGCAGUGGCAGUAUCGUAGCCAAUGAGGUUUAUCCGAGGCACGAUUAUUGCUAAUAAAUUGAAUUUAAAUUAA